rnacentral:rRNA from 1 species
AGUGAACGCUGGCGGUAGGCCUAACACAUGCAAGUCGAACGGCAGCACAGGAGAGCUUGUUCCCUGGGUGGCGAGUGGCGGACGGGUGAGAAAUACAUCGGAAUCUACUUUUUCGUGGGGGAUAACGUAGGGAAACUUACGCUAAUACCGCAUACGACCUACGGGGGAAAGCAGGGGAUCUUCGGCCCUUGCGCGAGUGAAUGAGCCGAUGUCGGAUUAGCUAGUUGGCGGGGUAAAGGCCCACCAAGGCGACGAUCCGUAGCUGGUCUGAGAGGAUGAUCAGCCACACUGGAACUGAGACACGGUCCAGACUCCUACGGGAGGCAGCAGUGGGGAAUAUUGGACAAUGGGCGCAAGCCUGAUCCAGCCAUACCGCGUGGGUGAAGAAGGCCUUCGGGUUGUAAAGCCCUUUUGUUGGGAAAGAAAUCCAGCUGGCUAAUACCCGGUUGGGAUGACGGUACCCAAAGAAUAAGCACCGGCUAACUUCGUGCCAGCCGCCGCCGUAAUAC